CCUACGGGGGGCAGCAGUGAGGAAUAUUGGUCAAUGGGCGUACGCCUGAACCAGCCAAGUCGCGUGAGGGAUGAAGGUUCUAUGGAUUGUAAACCUCUUUUCUCAGGGAAUAAAGUGCGGGACGUGUCCCGUUUUGUAUGUACCUUAUGAAUAAGGCUCGGCUAACUCCGUGCCCGCAGCCGCGGUAAUACGGAGGAUCCGAGCUUUAUCCGGAUUUAUUGGGUUUAAAGGGUGCGUAGGCGGAAUAUCAAGUCAGCGGUAAAAAUUCGGGGCUCAACCCCGUCGUGCCGUUGAAACUGAUGUUCUUGAGUGGGCGAGAAGUAUGCGGAAUGCGUGGUGUAGCGGUGAAAUGCAUAGAUAUCACGCAGAACUCCGAUUGCGAAGGCAGCAUACCGGCGCCCAACUGACGCUGAAGCACGAAAGCGUGGGUAUCGAACAGGAUUAGAUACCCUUGUAGUC
rnacentral:rRNA from 1 species